GACGAACGCUGGCGGCGUGCUUAACACAUGCAAGUCGAACGAAGAGCGACGGAAGCUUGCUUCUAUCGAUCUUAGUGGCGCACGGGUGAGUAACGCGUAAUCAACCUGCCCUUCAGAGGGGGACAACAGUUGGAAACGACUGCUAAUACCGCAUACGAUCUAACCUCGGCAUCGAGGAUAGAUGAAAGGUGGCCUCUACAUGUAAGCUAUCACUGAAGGAGGGGAUUGCGUCUGAUUAGCUAGUUGGAGGGGUAACGGCCCACCAAGGCGAUGAUCAGUAGCCGGUCUGAGAGGAUGAACGGCCACAUUGGGACUGAGACACGGCCCAGACUCCUACGGGAGGCAGCAGUGGGGAAUCUUCCGCAAUGGACGAAAGUCUGACGGAGCAACGCCGCGUGAGUGAUGACGGCCUUCGGGUUGUAAAGCUCUGUUAAUCGGGACGAAAGGCCUUCUUGCGAAUAGUGAGAAGGAUUGACGGUACCGGAAUAGAAAGCCACGGCUAACUACGUG
rnacentral:rRNA from 1 species